rnacentral:rRNA from 1 species
AACGAACGCUGGCGGCAGGCUUAACACAUGCAAGUCGAGCGCCCAGCAAUGGGAGCGGCGCACGGGUGAGUAACACGUGGGAACGUGCCCUUUGGUUCGGAAUAACGUAGGGAAACUUGCGCUAAUACCGGAUAAGCCCUUACGGGGAAGAUUUAUCGCCAUUGGAGCGGCCCGCGUUGGAUUAGCUAGUUGGUGGGGUAAAGACCUACCAAGGCAACGAUCCAUAGCUGGUCUGAGAGGACGACCAGCCACACUGGGACUGAGACACGGCCCAGACUCCUACGGGAGGCAGCAGUGGGGAAUCUUGGACAAUGGGGGAAACCCGUGAUCCAGCCAUGCCGCGUGAGUGAUGAAGGCCUUAGGGUUGUAAAACUCUUUCGGCGGGGACGAUAAUGACGGUACCCGCAGAAGAAGCUCCGGCUAACUUCGUGCCAGCCGCCGCAGU